rnacentral:tRNA from 1 species
UCCCAGCUGGCUCUGUCGGUGGAGCAUGCGACUCCUGAUCUCAGGGUUGUAAGUUCAAGCCCCACGUUGGGUA